AAAUACCUCUUGGUUUGAGGACUGUCGUGCGCAAGCCGGCUUUCCUUGCACUUUCCAGUCUAUGUUGUAUAAUAUACACCUAAAGUAUGUUUCAGAAUGUCAUUUAAUGGGCAUAACUGCCUUUAAUUACCAUACAACUUUCAACAACGGAUCUCUUGGCUCUCGCAUCGAUGAAGAACGCAGCGAAAUGCGAUAAGUAAUGUGAAUUGCAGAAUUCAGUGAAUCAUCGAAUCUUUGAACGCACCUUGCGCUCCUUGGUAUUCCGAGGAGCAUGCCUGUUUGAGUGUCAUUAAAUUCUCAACCUUUUCAAUCUUUUAUUGGUUGAAUUAGGUUUGGAUGUGGGAGUCUUUUUGCUGGCUUCUUUAAGAGGUCGGCUCUCCUUAAAUUUAUUAGCAGGACCUUUGUUGCCCUCUCAGUGUUAGUGUGAUAAUUACU
rnacentral:rRNA from 1 species